CCGCGCAACGGUCGGCGUUUAAACUUGUUCGCUCAGUUGCUCGAGCUGACGCUCGCUGCUGUAGUGUUUCGAAGUUAAGUUUAUUUCUUGUCCAGCGUCGUGCGUAUGUUUUCUUGCAAUCUGUCGGUCAACUGGACAGUUCCGGCAUCCUGUCCAUACGCAAUGAGCGAUAUCGUUAAGCGUAACAACGAGGGCUGCUGUAGCGGGGAGGCAACGUCCCUUAUUUGUUCUCUGUACUUCAGGUUUCAGGGAAUGAUGUUGCGAAUGAGUGACGAGCACAAUGGAGAUGUGGGACUGACCUAAAUGUGUUAACAAGAUUGUCGUUUGGUUACGUUCGAUGCUGUCUGUUCAGUGUACUGGCGACGAACAAUAUGGAGAUAUGGGACUGACGUAUGUGUGUGUUAAGAUUCAAUCGUUUGGAUACGUUGUUGGCUCGGGUACCUCUUGGAUUUACGUCUUUAUUAUCUUUGUAGGUGCUGGCAGAGUCAUGGAAUGAAGAUCACGAUUACUACGCUUGGCCUGUAAGCCAUUUGUUGGCACUUCAGCUGCGCUGGAGCUACGAUCACAUUUAGGUGCUUCCAGGCUCAUGGAUUGGAGGUGACGAAUACAACGCCUGUCCUGUGGGUCAUUUGUUGGCACUUCGGCUUAGCUGCAGCUACGAUCCAAUUUCAGUGUACCUCGGAAACGUUCCUUCCUGCUACCCACAGCCGUCUACCACCCCACACGUGUGUAAAGUACUGGUUGUAUUUGGAGCACUCAAGCACGGACCCAGAGACAGAGGCAAUACUUGCAGCUACCAGUGGUAUAAGUGCUGCGAUUUGUGUACAUGUACAUUACUAUCUGCUUUGGAAGAGUAUCAAGAUUUGCUGGUAUGUGACUGUGCAAUAAGGGGAAGUGCUCACAAUGUCUGCUGACUUGUCGACAUGUUUGGAAGUCAGUGUUUGCCCGGCAUAUUCAUAGAAAUAAAUCUUGUACCAACA